CAUGAUUUGCCCACCUCGGUCUCCCAGAAUGCUGGGAUUACAGGUGUGAACCACCACACCCGGCCUGAUUCCAAGUCUUAGUUGUCAUACUCUACAACCUUCCAUUAUAUUCCUUCCCUUCACUCUAUGCUCCAGACCUAACUCUAGUAAACAUUUAACAGACAACUAUUCUGGAACAUGUGGUGUCGCCAUCAGGUACCCAAAGCCAGUGACUCCAGCCAGGCUUACUUGUACCACCGUCCAUAUCCACUGCGCUUUCUUGGUUUCAACUGGAGUUUCAGUUUGGGUUGUGAAGGCCAGGGCUUUCAAACACAGACUUCAAGCCAGCUACAAGAAGCUCCUGGAGCACUCAGAGAAUAAGAACUACCCAUGGAUGACUGUUUGGCAGAACUGUCUCUUUCAAAGCUGGCUUGGGGCACCAUGGUUCCAGCUCAACUAGGGCUGAGGAGCAUUUAAAAUUACUGAACAAGAUGAAACAGAAAGCGCAAGCCUGUAUUCUACAGGUCCUUUGACCCUAUGGUGCCUAACUCAUGCCUGAGAUCACAGAAGGUACUAAACACAAGCAAGCUGUCUGAAUCGAUGAAAAAAUGUUGACUAUUCUCCCUUCUCCAGGGUAUUCUAGCAAUGGUGGUCAUGGAGUCUGAUGAGUCCCUGGCCUUAGAAUUGUGUGGCGAGUGCCUAUCUAACAGCGAUGCUCCUUUUUCCUUGCAGUUCCCAGGGAAAUAGUCCUGGUCAGCCCAAGCCAGUCAUGGCAGUAACAGUUUCCUUUGCCAGCAAUUUGUCUAAGGGUGAAGACUCAUUUCUGCCCAAAAAGAUAGAAAGUCCAUUGGGAGGCUUCAGGAAAUAUUUUCCUCCCCAGUAAAAGAGACGGGGUUCUAGGGGAAAAGUCCUUGUUUGCUUCCUUUCCUAACUUUCCUGUUUUAAACACUGUAUUUGUGGAUAUGAUGCCUGGAACAGAAGCAGUCAUCUCAGGUCCAUGGGACAGAUUUGAAGACAAAAAGUCUUUGCCAAAUCCAAAGAUGCUGGAGGGGAAGGACCAGAAGGAUGGAAAGAAUCUGGGAGCUUGAUAAGUUAGCAGCUAAAACUAAGCAUAGGAUCACCUACCUCCAGAUUCCUUACUACAAAAAUAGCGUCUGUCCUUAUUUCUGGGCCUAAGUGAGGGUUUCUGUUACUUGCAACUGAAAGCAUUCUAACUGAUUCAUAUCACCCAUGUUAAAAACAGGAGUAAUUGUGUCUCCCCUCUUCUAGGAGGGCGUUGUAUCUCAUCUCUUCUAGGUACGUUAUAAUUGAGAGAACAGAGGUUCAGGAGCCAAACAGAUGCCAGUCAGACAGAGUUCUGGCUGAGUAACCCUGAGCAAGUUUCUUAAUUUUCAAAGCUUCAGUGUAAUUAACUAUAAAAUGUAGGUAACAAUGAAGACUUCAUAAGCUUGCUAUCGUAAAAAAAUAAAAUAAUGACUGUAUAUAAGUCACUUACGCAUGCAGUAGGUGCUCAAUGUUAACUCCUUACUUUUUUACUUUCCAUAUAAUCCCUGUGUGGAGUAGAAGGGUCAAAUUGUGUGAAGGGGAAAGCACACUCCCAUGGUAGUAUCAAGAAACCUUGAUUUGAUUUUUCAUCAUCUUUCUUAUUCCAAGACAAGACAAAUGAUAGGGAUUGCUGUCCAUGUGGGAGGCUGGAGCUCAAAGAACAGCUUCUAAUCAGCAGGCCUGCCUGCGUGGCCUGUAUACAGACAAAUCCCUCAUUUAGGAGCUGUUCUUGCCUUUUGUUGAGCCUGAUGCUAUCUUUGACUCAGCCUGAUCAAACCAUCUGCUUAAUACCUCUAUUCAGAAAGGCCCCCACGUGCUGGGCUUCUUUGGGCCAGGAGGGUCUCUAUUUCCCACAACCUGCCCACAGCUAGGAGCCUUUAAAAUGUGGACCCAACUACCUCAGUGGGCAGUGAUCCCUGAGUGAGUGUGCAUCUGCCCUGGCAGCUUCAGGAUGGUGUGGGCCUGAGGACAAGCAGCAGGCAGUCAAAGCUGGCUUGCUGGCCACUCUCAUGGCCUUUCUGGACACACACCUAGAUAUGGCCCCCACACACAUGUGUGACACACUUUCCUCCCUGGUGAUUAGGCACAGUGAUCGUCAACCCCUGGAGAGCUGAGAACCUAUCUAUAGUCACACACUGUCCUUCCUCCUUCCUGAAGGCAUGAGGACGAUGUUAGCCUAACUCACAAACUCAUACUGUAAACCCCCACCACAGAGGCAGUGCAGAAUAAUGGUUAAGAGCCUCUACCCAUAGCUCCAGGAAUUACAACUUAUGUAACCUUGGCAAGUCACCUAAACCCUCUUGGGCUCUUUUAUCUCAUCUGGAAAAUGAGUAUGAAAAUAGAUUUGUUGUGAUAAUGUGUAUAAUGUGCUUAGCACUGUCCUUAGCAUGUGGUACCCAAUCAAUAAAAUGGACUCUCCCAGGCCACUUGUAUAUUAGGAAGGGAUCAUCUCCUCCUGCCGAAGGACAAUCCUAAGGCAUGGCCCACCCAACCUGCCAUCUUAAUUGGCUAUGGCUCAUAAGAUCAACAUUUACACUAGUCCAAAAUAUUUGUCAGAUAUUUCCUAUGUGUGGGCAUUUGGGAUCCAGCAGCAAGGAUCUUUGAGAGGUUACAGUCUAAGGAAAGAAACAAACUCAGAGACAAAAUCAUAGUCAUGAAUUGUAAAUCCCAUCAAGAAAAAGAGGGAGCUGUGAGAAGGAGUACAAAGUGAGCAGCAGGAGUGGGAGUAUCAUUUUACUGAAAGUCAGAUAAGACCUCCUGCUGAGAG